rnacentral:rRNA from 1 species
GACGAACGCUGGCGGCGUGCUUAACACAUGCCAGUCGAACGGAAAGGCCCUGCUUUUGUGGGGUGCUCGAGUGGCGAACGGGUGAGUAACACGUGAGUAACCUGCCCUUGACUUUGGGAUAACUUCAGGAAACUGGGGCUAAUACCGGAUAGGAGCUCCUGCUGCAUGGUGGGGGUUGGAAAGUUUCGGCGGUUGGGGAUGGACUCGCGGCUUAUCAGCUUGUUGGUGGGGUAGUGGCUUACCAAGGCUUUGACGGGUAGCCGGCCUGAGAGGGUGACCGGCCACAUUGGGACUGAGAUACGGCCCAGACUCCUACGGUAGGCAGCAGUGGGGAAUAUUGCACAAUGGGCGGAAGCCUGAUGCAGCAACGCCGCGUGCGUGAUGACGGCCUUCGGGUUGUAAACCGCUUUCGCCUGUGACGAAGCGUGAGUGACGGUAAUGGGUAAAGAAGCACCGGCUAACUACGUG